AACUUUGAUUUCUCGGUAAUUUAUAUCUUUCCGCAAUUCAUUCCUAUCGUGAUUGACAAUUACAUUCCGCGUUUCCAUUGAUACGAUCAAUCACAAUCAUUUCCUUACCUUGCGAGCCGUGCGAAGGCUAUAAAAGCCGAAGCCUCACCAUCUCGACACCACCACUCGACUCCCUCACACAUCGCUCGCAACACCCUCUGUUCCCGCCGAUUCACCGGAGGAGACAACCCGAAACACCUCACCGCCGCUGGACCGGCACGUUGUCGAGUACGCUACCAGGAGUUCCAACAACCCACCGGAGUCCUAGGGGUCUACUGGAGGCACCUACAGCGUCGAGGAGAAAGCCGUUGCCGGAACCAGGAUCACGUCGACGUUCGUGUCGUCACUUUUCGGAUAAUCGCUCUUGUGCGUUCCCUUGGAUUCUCAAUCUUAUUCGUGCGUUACAAGAAAUCGCAACGCAAUCAAUGUUGAAUGUUCAAGAUAUCAAGUAACAAGCUAGGAUGGCAUAGAAACCCAUUUUAGUUAUAAACUUUGUUUGAAUUUAUGUUUUGGAUAUUUGAAACUUUGUAUUAUCCCCUAGUUUUAAUAAAAUGAUUAAAUUCAUAAUGUCA